rnacentral:misc_RNA from 1 species
GAUGAAGAACGUAGCGAAAUGCGAUAAGUAAUGUGAAUUGCAGAAUUCAGUGAAUCAUCGAAUCUUUGAACGCACAUUGCGCCCCCCAGUAUUCUGGCGGGCAUGCCUGUUCGAGCGUCAUUUCAACCAUCAAGCCCUGCUAGUGUUGGGGUCCUGCGGCUGCCCGCAGGCCCUGAAAACCAGUGGCGGGCUCGCUAGUCACACCGAGCGCAGUAGCACAUCUCGCUCAGGGCGUGCGGCGGGCUCCAGCCGUUAAAGCACCCACCUUUCGCAAGGUUGACCUCGGAUCAGGUAGGAAUACCCGCUGAACUUAAGCAUAUCAAUAAGCGGAGGA